rnacentral:ncRNA from 1 species
AUAAAACCAAUGAUGGAGCAUAGUAGUUAAGGUCAAUUUAUGGACAGAGAGGAAAUGCCUUAGGCUGGAAGCAUUUCUGCAUAAAUCUUAACGAAUGAACACUCCGAAGGUUUCUCUCCGAAAAAGGAAUUCUCUAGUAGGAAUAGAACGUAAACAGGCGUUAACUGUUGAAGAGGAAGCAACUAAAGUUUAUUGAUCGCUUCAACUAGGGUGGCACCGCGGGAACUAAAACUCUCGUCCCUUGU